GGAAAGUCGCACGGUACAGGGUGAUAGUCCCGUACACAAAAAUGCAUAUGUUGUGAGUUCGAUGAGUAGGGCGGGACACGUGACAUCCUGUCUGAAUAUGGGGGGACCAUCCUCCAAGGCUAAAUACUCCUGACUGACCGAUAGUGAACCAGUACCGUGAGGGAAAGGCGAAAAGAACCCCGGCGAGGGGAGUGAAAUAGAACCUGAAACCGUGUACGUACAAGCAGUGGGAGCACCUUCGUGGUGUGACUGCGUACCUUUUGUAUAAUGGGUCAGCGACUUAUAUUUUGUAGCAAGGUUAACCGAAUAGGGGAGCCGUAGGGAAACCGAGUCUUAACUGGGCGAAUAGUUGCAAGGUAUAGACCCGAAACCCGGUGAUCUAGCCAUGGGCAGGUUGAAGGUUGGGUAACACUAACUGGAGGACCGAACCGACUAAUGUUGAAAAAUUAGCGGAUGACUUGUGGCUGGGGGUGAAAGGCCAAUCAAACCGGGAGAUAGCUGGUUCUCCCCGAAAGCUAUUUAGGUAGCGCCUCGUGAACUCAUCUUCGGGGGUAGAGCACUGUUUCGGCUAGGGGGUCAUCCCGACUUACCAAACCGAUGCAAACUCCGAAUACCGAAGAAUGUUAUCACGGGAGACACACGGCGGGUGCUAACGUCCGUCGUGAAGAGGGAAACAACCCAGACCGCCAGCUAAGGUCCCAAAGUCAUGGUUAAGUGGGAAACGAUGUGGGAAGGCAUAGACAGCCAGGAUGUUGGCUUAGAAGCAGCCAUCAUUUAAAGAAAGCGUAAUAGCUCACUGGUCGAGUCGGCCUGCGCGGAAGAUGUAACGGGGCUAAACCAUGCACCGAAGCUGCGGCAGCGACACUUAGGUGUUGUUGGGUAGGGGAGCGUUCUGUAAGCCGUUGAAGGUGACCUGUGAGGGUUGCUGGAGGUAUCAGAAGUGCGAAUGCUGACAUAAGUAACGAUAAUGCGGGUGAAAAACCCGCACGCCGGAAGACCAAGGGUUCCUGUCCAACGUUAAUCGGGGCAGGGUGAGUCGACCCCUAAGGCGAGGCUGAAAAGCGUAGUCGAUGGGAAACAGGUUAAUAUUCCUGUACUUGGUGUUACUGCGAAGGGGGGACGGAGAAGGCUAGGCUAGCCGGGCGACGGUUGUCCCGGUUUAAGCAUGUAGGCGGAGUGACUUGGUAAAUCCGGUUGCUUAUCA
rnacentral:rRNA from 1 species